GAAUCUCACAACAUAUGUUUGGAUAGCACUUCCCAGCCUACAACGCACUUUCUCAGGGAUUCUCAAACUUCCUCCCACCUCACAUCCUUUUAAGGCAAGUGAGUGUGGGAACUCUGGUUCAGGGAAGUUAAAUCACUUGCCUAAGGUCAUGCAGAUCAUUAAUGCCAUAGCCAAGACCUGAGCACGUUCUCCUAAAGCCAGGUCAGGCCUCUUGUCACAUACUCCAUUGACUCUAGUGCCUAACCCAUGCUCAUCACAGAGCUCACAUUGGAACCAUUGUUAAACAGACUCUAAUGGAAAUGACUUCGUUCAGCUGGUGAACAUUUUGGAAGAUUCCAGAAAAACAUGAACAAGUGUUUGAGUGCUCUUAAGGGGAUUGUCUAAUAUCUUGGCUCCUGACUCAUCCUUAGAAGUCUUCCAGCCACCUUGUACCCAUUUCAAGCCCAAGGGCUCUUUAACGUAAAUGAGUUACUGAGCAGGCUCCUAAUACUACUACCUGUGUUACCUGCAGAAAAGAACAGAGAAAGAUCCAGUGCAAAAACUCAUAGGAAAUGAUCAAUUCAUGCCAAGUGAUGAGAACUAGAGAAGAGAGAUGAGAGCAUUGUUCAUACACGAUGGUCUAGGUCUCCUACCCCAAGAGAACUUGCAACAAAGCCCAAAGUACAACAGCCACGUUUAAAGAGAAGAUUCCAUUUCAGCCAGACAACAUGAUUCAUCAUAUUUAUUUAAUAUUGUUAAUUUGAAUUUUAUUAGAUCUGUACUGAUGUUUGUAUUUAAUUUCUAAUUUGUUUUGGUUUCAUAAUUCACUAAAACAAUAAGCACAAAGAGUUUCUAUCUGACUUUAUAUAUUAACAUUUUAAUAAAAGUCUUUUAUAUACUCA
rnacentral:lncRNA from 1 species